AUAAACCUGAUGUGGCUGUUAGCUGGCUUUUCGAAGCAUGUGCUCGUCCGUCAUCUUUAUCUCUCCACCUGUGCACAUUUUGUAGUCUUGGAUACCUCUCGAGGCAACUCGGAUUUUAGGGUCGCUGUGCUGUACAAGUCGGCUUUCCUUUCAUUUCCAAGACUAUGUUUUUAUAUACACCAAAGUAUGUUUAAAGAAUGUCAUCAAUAGGAACUUGUUUCCUAUAUAAUUAUACAACUUUCAGCAACGGAUCUCUUGGCUCUCGCAUCGAUGAAGAACGCAGCGAAAUGCGAUAAGUAAUGUGAAUUGCAGAAUUCAGUGAAUCAUCGAAUCUUUGAACGCACCUUGCGCUCCUUGGUAUUCCGAGGAGCAUGCCUGUUUGAGUGUCAUUAAAUUCUCAACCUUCCAGCUUUUUAUAAGCUUGGUUAGGCUUGGAUGUGGGGGUUGUGGGCUUCAUUAAUGAGGUCAGCUCUCCUUAAAUGCAUUAGCGGAACUUUUGUGGACCGUCUAUUGGUGUGAUAAUUAUCUACGCCGUGGAUGUGAAGCAGAUUUAUGAAGUUCAGCUUCUAACCGUCCAUUGACUUGGACAUUUUUGACAAUUUGACCUCAAAUCAGGUAGGACUACCCGCUGAACUUAAGCAUAUCAAUAAGCGGAGGAAAAGAAACUAACAAGGAUUCCCCUAGUAACUGCGAGUGAAGCGGGAAAAGCUCAAAUUUAAAAUCUGGCAGUCUUUGGCUGUCCGAGUUGUAAUCUAGAGAAGUAUUAUCCGCGCUGGACCGUGUACAAGUCUCCUGGAAUGGGGCGUCAUAGAGGGUGAGAAUCCCGUCUUUGACAUGGACUGCCAGGGCUUUGUGAUGUGCUCUCAAAGAGUCGAGUUGUUUGGGAAUGCAGCUCAAAAUGGGUGGUAAAUUCCAUCUAAAGCUAAAUAUUGGCGAGAGACCGAUAGCGAACAAGUACCGUGAGGGAAAGAUGAAAAGAACUUUGGAAAGAGAGUUAAACAGUACGUGAAAUUGCUGAAAGGGAAACGCUUGAAGUCAGUCGCGUUGGCCAGGGAUCAACCUUGCUUUUUUGCUUGGCUUACUUUCUGGUCGAUGGGUCAGCAUCAAUUUUGACCGGUGGAAAAAGUUCAAGGGAAUGUGGCAUCUUCGGAUGUGUUAUAGCCUUUGUUCGCAUACAUUGGUUGGRAUUGAGGAACUCAGCACGCCGCAAGGCCGGGUUUUUAACCACGUACGUGCUUAGGAUGCUGGCAUAAUGGCUUUAAUCGACCCGUC
rnacentral:rRNA from 1 species